AUGUCCUUCACCGGAGAUUAAUUGGGGGAAAAAAGGUGGUUCGAUUAGCUACUGUCAAUGCUCAAUGGUAUAUUGUACACUAUUGACAAUGUCUAGAAUUGGCAAGGAUAUAAGGAGUUGAAAGCUGCCCCCACCAGACUCAGCACCAAGGGAGAGGGAGACCAUAGCCGCAGUCUGGAAGUGGUAAGCGGUGAUGGAUGAGACGCUGCAGGGGUUACCACUCCAUCACCCUACCAGUCAUCCUCUCCUCAUCCUCCUAAGGUGCAUCUGUGGACAGGCUCCUCUCCCUCCCAGAAGGGUCCAGAUGUAGGGGCGAGAGAAGGAGAUAAUCCAUCCACGUCUAACCGGCCUCACAACCACAGACCAUGUGUAACCAUGCCAGCCCAGGAUCUCCACAUCAGUCUUCACCUGCGAGAUUGUCUGAGACCAGCCACCCGGACUGAGACCAGCAACCGAAGAAUUUCUGCACAAACUGUCAGAAAAGUGGCCUUUUAUAAAAACGGAUUUCAGGCAAUUCUACAUAAUUUUACAUGACUGGAGACUUUGGCAGAAUAUGUUUUAAAUACCGCACAAAUGAUCUUAAAUGACAGGCUACUUUGAUACGGACUAACUGAGAAUCUGAAAUCAAUAAAAACGACAAUAUCUUGAAUCCAUCAAUAGCCUAGGUGUGUGGAGCCGCAUAUUGUUGGCUACAAUAUGAGGUAAUUAGUCCUAAAAUGCUUUCCAGUUAAACUGAUUUGUCCAAUGUUGCGCAGCUCACUCGCUGGUGAUGGGCGAUGCAAUCGUGCCAAAAGCCUUUCUCUCUCGUUUUACUUUGUAAAACAAUAUUUGAAAGUUGAAAUGUUGGUAGCCUACAGCAUACAGAUCAUUCAUGUUCAGCAGGAGCUAUUUGCUUUUCAACCUGUGUUUUCCCGUGAUUGUAUUUGAAAUAUUGUUAAAGGCCAGUUUUGUCUGCAUGCUGUUUGUUCACUGACAGUUUUGCCGUGCGUUCCCGCCUUAUUAGGCUACACUCCACAGCUAUUAUUUAAAAGAAGCUAUUGGUCCUCUGACUACAUUUGUGUAGUAAGCUAUUCUGAAAUUAUUUCUUUUUUUUCCUGAACAGACAGCAGUAACUUUAGAAAAUGUAUUUCAAUAUAUCAGGGGUGCUGCAGCUCCUCCAGAACCUUUCGCGUGACUAUGCUUCUACAAGGAAAUAAAGAGGCGCAACUCUGGAGAGAUAAGAGUUGCAGACUCAUGUCUAUCAGAAGAGGGAGGGAGAUCAUAGAGGGUUAAUCACAUUCUAGUUCGGAGAGAGAUACAGGCACGCUUGUCACACAGCCGCGGCCACACAUUGGUCUCAAACAUAUAUUACAAUGUUGCGCAAACCAUAAACCUGGGCCGAACCUGAAUACAUACUUAGAUUUUCAGCCCGGGCCUGAUAUUCUACUUUUUCACAGUAUGUUGUUUGUGUGUGUGUGGUGGGGUGGACAGGAGAAACAACAAAGAGGCUACUUGUAUGAACUUUGAUCGAUUUUAUUCAAAAGUUUUACAUUGCAAAAAGUCGAAAUAAUUUAUGCCACGAGAGGCACCAGAUCCAACCAAAUAUGUUCCGACACGAAACAGUCCAAAACAGCAAGGUGCCAGAUCCUGCUCGUGCAGGAUUCAGCUCAAAUUAAACACUGAUAUGAACAUGGCACAAGUCAUGGCAAAAUGUGUAACAAACCCUCAUUCUAAUACGAUUUUUUUUUAGGGCCACCAAAAAUCUACGACCGGCCCUGUAUGGCAUACUAUCCUAAAACUGACCAAGACCCAAUUCUAGGUAACAAAUAGGAACACAUGCACAGAGGGAAACUGGCCCCACAGUCUCGGCCUUCUGCAAAAUGUACCUCUUGCCAUUCCUCUGUAUUGGUCGAGGAUCUUGACACUACUGGGACGACUGGCGCGGACGCGCUCUCUAAUUGUCCUCUCUGCGCGCUCCCGUACCACCUUCAGUUCCAAUAGCUGUAGUUUCCUCCGCAAUGUCCUGUUUUCUUUCUGGCUUUGAGUUAUUUCCAAACGAAACACUGCAUAGUCGUCGUCUACGACUUUACAGAUCUCUGCCACAGCUGCAUUCGCUAGAACCUCCAUGAUGGAGGCUAUUUGAGUGUGAAAAACCAUUGUUAGCUAACGUUACUUAGAUAACGUAGAGUCCUAUCUCUAACGUGAAUUAAAGACUACCUGAAGUAUGUGAUGUUGUGCCGUUAAAUGAGUCAUAUUUUGAGUUCCAAUGUGUUAAU